ensembl:lncRNA
GGACCGGCAGGGAGGGGCCGGGAGUGGGAGGCCCACCUGGAGGGGAAGGAGGACUCUGACCCUCAGCCAGCACCCACGCCGCCCCAUGAGCGCACCACCUUGCAGGCAGGCAGCCCUCCCCAGGACUGGCUCCAUGCCAGGCAUCCCACCUAGAGCCGUCACAGCUGGCCUGGGGGGAGGUGGGGACGUAACCAUCCCCCGUCCUGCAGGGGGAGACCAGAGGCUCUGGCUUGAGCAGGGCCCAGGCAAGACUGAACCCAGGCUGGUCUCAACCACUCUCGGCCAAGCAGCGAAGCAUCUGCUCGGCCUGGACGCUCUCCCCGAUUCCAGGCCUCGCCCAGCCCCGACUGGCAGGCGGGCUCCACACCCAGGCAGGAACAGCUGUUAAGAAAUCACAUUUGUACCUUCUCAGAAGCUCUCUUGAACUUGGAGUGCAAAUUAACUUCAUGUGAUCUGAAAUAUAAAAGGUCGCUUCCCCACAAAUUAAAAGCUGGGAGCUGCUUGCCAAGCUCGUGAGCAUCGCGGGUUGUGCCGGGACGUCCGCGGGGAGGGCCGGCAUCCACGCGGCUGCUGGUGCGGUCACGCGGGUGGCUCUUCGCCGUCCUCUCUCAAGGCCGUUUGCACCGGUCAUGACACCCUGCAGGCUGCGGCCCCUCCACCGGCCUCUGGGGACACCCAUGCAGGGCUGGGGGGGCCAGGACCCUGAGCAGCCCCUCCUCCUGGCUGCUCCCAUCUGUGUCGUGGGAAGUGGGCAGGACACGGCAGAAGGGCCUCGCUCUCCCCAUGUGGCAUCAUGACUGCAGCCCCCAGCCGCCCCAAGCUCCCACGUGUCCCCAAGCCCGGACGGAUGCCACCUAAGCCCGUCGGACACCAGAGGCCCUGGCUACCCCCCGGCCCCUCCCCAGCUCCCUGCCUCUCUGCCAUCACCAGGACCGGAAUCGCCUUACCGCCCGCAGCUAGGUCCUCUCGCCCCCACACCCCGGCAGGACUCAGGGACAUCACUGCCCCACCUGGCCCUAGAAAUGCCUGCUGGGCAUCCAGAGCACCAGGAGAGUGCUCUCACUAACAGGCCUGGUCCUCCCAACCGGCCCUCCCCGCGAGCUGGCUCCACGCCCUGGGAUGAUGCCUCAUCUGUCUGUUCUGGGGGGGAUCCCCACCCAGGGCUCAGCCCCAGAGACAGGAGAUAUCUGGGGAGUGUGAAGGUAUGAUUGUUUGGCUGGGGUCAGAAGGUUGUGCCAGCGCGUGUGAGCAGGACUCAGGGGAGGCCACGCAGCUGGAACACGGGGGCGGGAGGGGGCUGGGCCCCGGCCAAGCAUCUGGGCUCAGAAGCUGGAGAGGUCUGCCUCGGGCGCCUCCGCUUUGUCGUCCGUAAAGAGGUGAGUGGAGAUCCAUGCCUGGUGCCCGCUGAGUGCCCGACAGGGUGUGAGGGAGGGGCCAGGGCAGGGCACAUUCGGAGGGCCUGGGGAAGACUAGGGAGCGUGAGGAACGUGGACCGUGGCCCCGGGAAGGAGACUUCGUCCCACGCUCUCAGCUGGCUCCUCAGCCUCCGCGACCGGUGUCUGCACGGGCUCGGGGCCAGCUAGGGGCAGAGGCUCACAGGUUGGUUCCCUUCCAAUAAAACUGCACCGUGGCUGCAUGGGGUCCCCACAGGGGCCUCCUGUAGGGAGGCUCUCUGGAUUUCUAGAACCUCCGAAGUGAUCUUUGUUUCAAAUCACGAUCACUUCCUCUUAAGGAAGAUGCGGCUGGUCCAGGAGGAGGGUUGGGGGGAACUGGGGGGUGGGGCGGUCAGUCCUGCCUGAUAAGACCCCUGGUCACAGCCAGCCUUGGAGACAGUGGUCUGGCAGCUGGCAGCUGUCACCUCCCAAUAAGGCUACUCAGCAAGAGGUGGCCAACCCUUCCAAGAUGGAAGCUCACCUCCCCAACCAACCAAACUGGGAGUGACCUGGGGUGCGGCUGAGGGGCACCAAAGCCUGGAUGGUCCUUGCCCCUGAGAUGGGACACAGCACAGACCGAAGCCCUGUGUGGAGACAGACGGGAGGAGCCCCGGGCCUGCACUCCACCCGGGGCCGCGGGAAAGGCAAGGGGGUCAGAGAGCAGAGCUCAGACGCAAGAAAAGGCAGCCGGCUCCCGACAAGCCAGCACUCCGGUUCCAGCCGUCAGCUGAGCUGGGCCCCUGA